rnacentral:rRNA from 1 species
UACGGAGGGUGCGAGCGUGGUCCGGAAUCACUGGGCGUAAAGGGCGCGUAGGUGGCCUGUGGAAGUCUGCGGUGAAAGCCCGGCGCUCAACGCCGGGUCGGCCGUGGAUACUCUCGGGCUUGAGCUUACUAGAGGCAGAUGGAAUUCCGGGUGUAGCGGUGGAAUGCGUAGAGAUCCGGAAGAACACCGGUGGCGAAGGCGGUCUGCUGGGGUAAUGCUGACACUGAUGCGCGACAGCGUGGGGAGCAAACAGG